AUCUACUCUACUCACUUGUUCGCGCUUGGAGCGUUUCCAGAAAGUAAACUAGAAAGUAUGGAAUCAAUCGGAGUCCUUAUGAUGUGCCCUAUGUCCUCCUACCUCGAGAACGAGCUUCAGAAGCGCUUCAACCUUGUUCGCUUUUGGAAUUUCCCGGAGACUCAUCGGAACUCAAUCCGCGCCGUGGUUGGAAACGCUUCUACAGGCGCUGACGCUGAGCUCAUCGAUGAUCUCCCCAAGCUUGAGAUUAUCUCCAGCUUCAGCGUGGGCAUCGAUAAGAUCGAUUUGGGGAAAUGCAAGGAAAAAGGGAUCCGAGUCACCAACACUCCGGACGUUCUCACUGAAGACGUGGCAGAUCUCGCGAUUGGCCUUAUACUUGCUCUCCUCCGACGCUUAUGUGAGUGCGAUAGCUAUGUGAGGAGCGGUAAAUGGAAGUAUGGCGGUUUUCAACUCACUACUAAGUUUAGCGGAAAAUCAGUGGGCAUCCUCGGUCUAGGUAGAAUUGGGACUGCCAUCGCCAAGAGAGCUGACGCCUUUAGCUGCCCAGUCAGUUACCACUCUAGAAGAGCCAAGCCUGAUUUAGGCUACAAGUAUUAUCCAACGGUGCUUGAGCUUGCUGAAAACUCUGACAUCUUCGUGGUAGCAUGCCCAUUGACUGACCAGACCAGAGGCAUUGUCAAUCGGCAGGUCAUGGAUGCAUUAGGAGCAAAGGGUGUUGAUGAGCAAGAGCUAGUAAAAGCUCUAACAGAAGGCCGCCUAGGUGGGGCUGCGCUGGACGUGUUUGAGCAGGAGCCACACGUACCCGAGGAGCUCUUUCAACUUGAAAAUGUGGUUUUGCUUCCUCACGUUGGGAGUAGCACUGUAGAGACAGAGAAUGCCAUGGCAGAUCUUGUGGUGAGUAACUUGGAAGCGCACUUCGCUGGGAAAUCACUUCUGACUCCGGUGGUCUGAGUAAAGGGCUCCUUCUAUUAUCUAUGUCGAUACACUAAUGAUGGAAAGUCUCAAUUUCUCUUCCAAACAAGUCGAAUUGUCGUAUAUAAGGAAAGGAAGGGUUUGGUUAUUUUAAUAAAGAGAAGUCCAACUUUGAUGUGAUAGGCCCAUUGUCCUUGGAGAUACCUAAUCGGCAAAACCUUGCCUGACUGUUGUUCAUGAUCCUUACUAGAGUGGAUAUGUUCAAGCAGGGUUUGGCAUAUAAAAAAGAGUUGCAAAGAAUACUGUGAGAACCUGUGUAUGAAAGCAGUAAACCAAUCAAUUGGUAGAGAGCAAUAAGCCAGGCAAAGGACUAUGUAGCUGUUUUACUGGCAGAUGCUUGAUACUCCAAUGAUCAGUGUAAAAUAAGAACAUCUCAUUCUUAUCCAUCCAGCUCGUUUUAGUCCACUAAAGGCUACGGAGCCGUUCACAGACUGUUGUGCCAAUUCUUUAAACAUUAAAACUCCUUCCUAAAGUGACCAAGUCAGCACUAGUGGCCGUGUCUAGGAGAGCGAGUAACCUAUGAGAACAUUUUGGAGGAAGUCCAUGGCACUCUAAUUUUAGCAAACAAGAUCUCCGUUGGCAACAUCAGCGGACGUCAGUUGAGGGAAUAAACACCUCAAGGCAACUUCAUAAGCAGCAAAAAUGGCACCGUUGACAACAAAGGCCCUGGCAACUGCAGUCCCGAGGCCACGCCAGAGAACCCCAUAGCCUUCCUGUGCGAUGCUCUUACGAAAACAAUCGGUAAUGCCAUCGUAAGAACCAUGAUUUCCUUGUUGAAGCCUGGUCUUGACGACAUCAAGAGGAUAGCAAACGACCCAGCUGGAGACACCAGCCAGGCCACCUGCGACCAGCAUGGUGCGGAGGGUUUCUUCUCCACUCUUCCUGCAGCCGGGAUGAAGCCUUUCUCGUACGUACUCGUAAGUCCAGAAAUAGAGGCCGUGAGCAGGAGCAUCUCUGAGAACAGUUAUGGUAAGGCCUUUGUAAAUCCCUUUGAGACCUUCUCUCCUAAGGAUGGUCUUAGCCAAGCAGAUGGGGCCGCUGUUGCUCUGCUGCAGCUGAAGACGAAUCUUGAUGAGCUCAACGGGGCUAAGCAAGAGGCUCUGAACAGCGCCAGUGCCAACCCCACCAAGAGCAACGCCUCUGUAGGAAGGAGGCUCUUCUAGGGGAAGAGAGGAAUCAAAGGAGCGAGAGAGUAUGGCAUAUAUCUGGAAUACCAUAGCAUUCUGUGACAUGAUCACAAGAAGAAGAAGAUGAAGAUGAGUAAAUCACAUGUGCGCAAGAGAAUAUGCGAGUGGAAUCUAAUGUUUUUUUAAAAAGAAAAAAAAAAGGUAAUGAUGGAUGGGAUAUU